rfam:Ictidomys tridecemlineatus contig011383, whole genome shotgun sequence.
GGGGGUGUGGCUCAGCGGGAGAGCACUUUCCUGGCAUGCAGGAAGCCCUGGGUUUGAUCCUUGGCAUCCCCC